rnacentral:rRNA from 1 species
UACGGGGGGGGCAAGCGUUGUUCGGAAUUACUGGGCGUAAAGGGCGCGUAGGCGGCCUGCUAAGUCGGAGGUGAAAUCCCUCGGCUCAACCGAGGAACUGCAUCCGAUACUGGCGGGCUUGAAUCCGGGAGAGGGAUGUGGAAUUCCAGGUGUAGCGGUGAAAUGCGUAGAUAUCUGGAGGAACACCGGUGGCGAAGGCGGCAUCCUGGACCGGUAUUGACGCUGAGGCGCGAAAGCUAGGGGAGCAAACGGG